ACAGAGGGUGCGAGCGUUAAUCGGAAUUACUGGGCGUAAAGCGCACGUAGGUGGCUUUGCAAGUCGAUUGUGAAAUCCCCGGGCUUAACCUGGGAACUGCAGUCGAGACUGCUUUGCUUGAGUAUGGGAGAGGGAGGUGGAAUUUCCGGUGUAGCGGUGAAAUGCGUAGAUAUCGGAAGGAACAUCAGUGGCGAAGGCGACCUCCUGGACCAAUACUGACACUCAAGUGCGAAAGCGUGGGGAGCAAACAGGA
rnacentral:rRNA from 1 species